rnacentral:rRNA from 1 species
UUCCGGUUGAUCCUGCCGGAGGUUACUGCUAUCGAGAUUCGACUAAGCCAUGCGAGUUGAAUGUUCCUCGUGAACAUGGCGGACUGCUCAGUAACACGUGGACAACCUACCCUUGGGUCCGGCAUAAUCCUGGGAAACUGGGAAUAAUUCCGGAUAGGUCACCGAUGCUGGAAUGCGCGGUGGCCGAAAGCUCCGGCGCCCGAGGAUGGGUCUGCGGCCUAUCAGGGUUGUAGUGGGUGUAACGUACCUACUAGCCUACGACGGGUACGGGUUGUGAGAGCAAGAGCCCGGAGAUGGAUUCUGAGACACGAAUCCAGGCCCUACGGGGUGCAGCAGGCGCGAAAACUUUACAAUGCGGGAAACCGUGAUAAGGGGAUCUCGAGUGCCAGCAUAUAAUGUUGGCUGUCCAGAUGCCUAAAAAGCAUCUGUUAGCAAGGGCCGGGCAAGACCGGUGCCAGCCGCCGCGGUAACACCGGCGGCCCGAGUGGUAACCGCUAUUAUUGGGUCUAAAGGGUCUGUAGCCGGCCAGGUAAGUCCCUUGGGAAAUCUGGCAGCUCAACUGUCAGGCUGCUAGGGGAUACUGUUUGGCUUGGGACCGGGAGAGGUGAGAGGUACCUUGGGGGUAGGGGUGAAAUCUUGUGAUCCUCGAGGGGCCACCAGUGGCGAAGGCGUCUCACCAGAACGGGUCCGACGGUAAGGGACGAAAGCUAGGGGCACGAACCGGAUUAGAUACCCGGGUAGUCCUAGCCGUAAACGAUGCUCGCUAGGUGUCAGUCACGGUGCGACCGUGAUUGGUGCCGUAGGGAAGCCGUGAAGCGAGCCACCUGGGAAGUAUGGCCGCAAGGCUGAAACUUAAAGGAAUUGGCGGGGGAGCACUACAACGGGUGGAGCCUGCGGUUUAAUUGGAUUCAACGCCGGG